CUCACCUACGGGGCGCAGCAGUGGGGAAUAUUGCACAAUGGGGGAAACCCUGAUGCAGCGACGCCGCGUGAGUGAAGAAGUAUUUCGGUAUGUAAAGCUCUCUCAGCAGGGAAGAAGAAAGACGGUACCUGACUAAGAAGCCCCGGCUAACUACGUGCCAGCAGCCGCGGUAAUACGUAGGUGGCGAGCGUUAUCCGGAAUGAUUGGGCGUAAAGGGUGCGUAGGCGGCCUGCUAAGUCUGGAGUGAAAGGUACCGGCUCAACCGGUACAGGCUCUGGAAACUGGCGGGCUAGAGAGCAGGAGAG
rnacentral:rRNA from 1 species